rnacentral:lncRNA from 1 species
AACCAAAUGAAGGAUGAUCUGGAUGAAGCCACGUGGUUCUGACCAAGCACGUCGAACGGUGCUGAUGGAGAAAUACCAUAAGGAAUGGCUGAGAUGGCUUGAUUUCCUCCAACGGCUAUGAUGUUAGCCAGACCCAACAUAAAAGGAGAGACGGGUUGCGAGGGAGACACAGGAGGGAGAGGAGAGUGAGAGUAGAGAAUAUAAUCGAAGGGAACAUAGACAAAGGACUUAAAGGAAGAUUUAAGAGGACAUCCCUCAUCUAAAGUCGGCAAAGAGGAAAAGUCUGAGAGAACAAUUGCUGCAACGAACACAAAUGGAAGCUAGAGGUGAGACGAAUUU